GGCAGUUCUCGGGUGACGCAUCCUAGAAUUGGGCUCCCUCCUCUCUGGUUCCGGGUGCAUCACCCAAGAACCGCA
rfam:Myotis lucifugus cont2.30, whole genome shotgun sequence.